CCUACGGGAGGCUGCAGUGAGGAAUAUUGGUCAAUGGACGGAAGUCUGAACCAGCCAUGCCGCGUGCAGGAAGACGGCUCUAUGAGUUGUAAACUGCUUUUGUACAAGGGUAAACCUGAAUACGUGUAUUCAGCUGAAAGUACUGUACGAAUAAGGAUCGGCUAACUCCGUGCCAGCAGCCGCGGUAAUACGGAGGAUCCAAGCGUUAUCCGGAUUUAUUGGGGUUAAAGGGUGCGUAGGCGGAUUGAUAAGUUAGAGGUGAAAUGUCCGAGCUUAACUCGGGAACUGCCUCUAAUACUGUUGAUCUAGAGAGUAGAUGCGGUAGGCGGAAUGUAUGGUGUAGCGGUGAAAUGCUUAGAGAUCAUACAGAACACCGAUUGCGAAGGCAGCUUACCAAUCUAUAUCUGACGUUGAGGCACGAAAGCGUGGGGAGCGAACAGGAUUAGAUACCCCGGUAGUC
rnacentral:rRNA from 1 species